rnacentral:rRNA from 1 species
UACGGAGGGAGCUAGCGUUGUUCGGAAAUACUGGGCGUAAAGCGCACGUAGGCGGCGCAGCAAGUCAGGGGUGAAAUCCCGGGGCUCAACCCCGGAACUGCCUCUGAAACUGCAGUGCUAGAAUCUUGGAGAGGCGAGUGGAAUUCCGAGUGUAGCGGUGAAAUGCGUAGAUAUCUGGAGGAACACCGGUGGCGAAGGCGGCAUCCUGGACCGGCAUUGACGCUGAGGCGCGAAAGCUAGGGGAGCAAACGGG